AAAGCAGGAGUUCUCUGAGCACCUAGGAGUCCCAGUAGUGGAUCAGGACCCCAUUGUGCAAGAGAUUGUACAAAGAAAAAACAGACUCUGCAACUCACUGCCACAGGAAGUCAUUAAGCAGCACCUUCUGGCACAGGAAUAUGUACUGACCUGUAUGGCUUCCACAGCCCUCCGCACCACACACCAUCAAAUGCAAUACAAACAGUAUGUUAGCAAUGUUCUUCUUUGCCAGAACCUGUAUGACAGGGAUGCCCACGCUUUGCCAGCGGAGGCUCAUGCUAGCAACUUGCUGGAUCCUGAGGACUGCACAGAAUUUGGAUAAAACAGAGAAGACUGCAAGGCUAGUUUGUCACUCUGCAGUCUAGUGUGGUGAAACUUCUCCAGCGUCAUUUCCCUGCCAUCUCUUGUCUGAUAUCUUCCCCUCCUUUGGGAGUGCCCCUACCUUGCCAAAUAGAGCUUCAGCAGUGCCAACCCCUGUCUCCCCAGCUAACCCACUGAGCCCUACAAUCCUCACUCCCUGCCAAACUCAGAGGCAAAGGGAGCUUCCAUUCCACUCCUGGCUUGCGAGGGCCCUAAGUCCUCUGAAUUGUGAGGAGGUACAAAACAGCCUUGCCAAAGACCAGAAAGAUUCCAAACCUUCCUUCAUUUAAUUCAUGUAGGUCAUUUGAUACUGUAUUACAUGAAGUCACUGCGUAAAUUAAUGCCAACUGGCCUGGACAGAAAUAGUCAUGUGCAUUCAAAACAGGUUGAAGGACAGAAACAACAGGCAACAAUUAACAGCAAUGGACAUAGUUGGAGUAGAUCUGGGUUAGACUGAGUCUUAUUAAACAGCAUCAUCAAUGAUCUGACACCUUAUUAGAUGUAAUAUGCAAAAACCCUGAAGAAAGCAAUAUAAACAAUUGGGGAGCUGGAGGAAAAAUAAAAAAGAGUUAACUGCUUAGCUAAGCAAUGACUGGGAAGAGGGGAAGGGGAGACGUGUUAAGAGUGCACUGAUAUUUGAGGGAAAGGAAUUAUUUAGUGUGUUACAGGGGGUCUAAGUAGAAAGAAUAGGAUGAAAUUAACUAAAGAUGAAUUUAAGCCAGAAGCUUCUUGCCAGAAAGAUGUAUUAGAUGUGAAAACAUUUCCAUAGGUAAGAGCUGGGAGCCUCACCAUGUGGAACACAGAAAUCCAAAUUGGCAAAAACACCAGAAAUGCCCUGUAGGGAAUAACCCUGCCCUGGCCCUGAGAGGAUGGACUGGGGAGACCUGACACGUC